rnacentral:tRNA from 1 species
CAGGGAGACAACAAAAUGUUUAUAUUAUUAUUUUGUCACCUUAGGUCGAUCGGUAUCUCACGUUUUUAAUUUAUUAAGAAUUUCAUUUCCUAAGUUUUUCUAGGUCACACCCAUUAUUUUUCCUGGGCCAUUAGCUCAGGUGGUUAGAGCGCACCCCUGAUAAGGGUGAGGUCCCUGGUUCAAGUCCAGGAUGGCCCAUAUCUCUAUGUUGGGGGUAUAGCUCAGUUGGUAGAGCGCCUGCUUUGCAAGCAGGAUGUCAGCGGUUCGAGUCCGCUUACCUCCACUGAUUACCACCUCUUCCAUAACCGGUAGAAAGGAAAUGUUUUGAGUUGUGAUCAAAUUCUGAAAGAAUCUAGCUUCCUAAUGAAAGUAUUAAGAUGCUGGACUCAUUGAAUUAAUUUCAUUGUUUUCAGAGAACCUUGACAACUGCAUAGAUUUUUUUUAAAGACAAUAAGCAUCUUUAAUGAUGCAGAUUUAUUAUUUGUGCGAAUGCAUUAAUAACAAUUCUAUUAAGCUGAUGCUUCAAUUUUGAAGUUAUU